CCUACGGGAGGCAGCAGUAGGGAAUCUUCCACAAUGGACGAAAGUCUGAUGGAGCAACGCCGCGUGAAUGAAGAAGGCCUUCGGGUCGUAAAAUUCUGUUGUCAGAGAAGAACGUUGCGUGAGAGUAACUGUUCACGUAUUGACGGUAUCUGACCAGAAAGCCACGGCUAACUACGUGCCAGCAGCCGUCGGCUAAUACC
rnacentral:rRNA from 1 species